rnacentral:rRNA from 1 species
UACGUAGGGUGCAAGCGUUGUCCGGAAUUAUUGGGCGUAAAGAGCUCGUAGGCGGUUUGUCGCGUCUGCUGUGAAAACUGGGGGCUCAACCCCCAGCCUGCAGUGGGUACGGGCAGACUAGAGUGCGGUAGGGGAGAUUGGAAUUCCUGGUGUAGCGGUGAAAUGCGCAGAUAUCAGGAGGAACACCGGUGGCGAAGGCGGGUCUCUGGGCCGUAACUGACGCUGAGGAGCGAAAGCAUGGGGAGCGAACAGG